rnacentral:rRNA from 1 species
CAGCAGCCGCGGGAAUACGUAGGUGGCAAGCGUUGUCCGGAAUUAUUGGGCGUAAAGGGCUCGCAGGCGGUUUCUUAAGUCUGAUGUGAAAGCCCCCGGCUCAACCGGGGAGGGUCAUUGGAAACUGGGAAACUUGAGUGCAGAAGAGGAGAGUGGAAUUCCACGUGUAGCGGUGAAAUGCGUAGAGAUGCGGAAGAACACCAGUGGCGAAGGCGACUCUCUGGUCUGUAACUGACGCUGAGGAGCGAAAGCGUGGGGAGCGAACAGGAUUAGAUACCCCAGUAGUCCCUGUCUCUUAUAC